UCACAGAAAAUCAAAGAUAAAAUCCUGAAAGAAGCUAGAAGAUGAAAACAGCUUUUCUAUAGAGAAACAACGAAUUACAUCCAAAUUCUCCAAAUUCUCUGCAGACACCAUGCAAACAAGAAGAGAGUGAAGUGAAAUAUUUAAAGGUUUGAGAGAAACAAACUUACAGUUCCGUACCCAGAGAAAUACAUUCUCAGGCAAACAAAAAUUGAGUGAAAAACCCUCAUUGCCGAGAGACCUGCCUUGCAAGAAAUGUUAGAAGUUUUUUGGAGAGAAGGAAAUACAGGUCAGAAACUCAGAUCUACAUGAAGAAGGGAAGAACAUCAAAGAAGGAAAGAAUGAUGGAAAACCAGAAACUUCGGGAGACCUAAAAAUGUCAUCUCACUCAACUGGUGAAUGCACAGUACAAAUUCCUAUAUGUGAAAGUGCUGAGUCCAAGAGUAUGUUCAGCUUUAAUUUUCGCAGAAAUUGCCAGAAUGCUCUACAAAGACAAGUUCACUUGAAAUUACCCUCCCCAA
ensembl:lncRNA